GGGGAUUUAGCUCAGCGGUAGAGCGCUUGCCUAGCAAGCACAAGGUCCUGGGUUCGGUCCCCAGCUCCA
rnacentral:tRNA from 1 species